AAAGGCGUGGUUUUUUUUAGAGGAAAAACAUCGCAUUCGAUACUGAUAUCGAAACUGCACUCGAAUGCGACAUUUUCUCUCUAAAAAACCACGCCUUUAUUACGUUGAAUUUCUUUGUUAAAAUUGGUGAGUGCUUUAGUCUCCUGAAAACAGAAUUGCGAUCUCAAAAUUUGAGAAAGAUGACGAGUAGCUGAAAAAAUGGAACCAAUUGAUGCGAUAUAUCGCAUGCCGUUCUGACACAAAAUAUGGCGUCCAUCGAAUCACCUUAAAUUUUACACCCAAUUUGUCUGAUGGUGAGGCACAAAUAAAAUUCAUUUUUAUUCAUUCGUGUUAUUAUUUGCAGGCUCUGAAAUAGCAUUCACUCUGGAUCGACGUCAAAAUGUACUAAUUGCUGCGGAAGGAAUUGAGAUGAAAGGGCUCAUUUUCAAAGCUCCACCAAAAAGGGUCUCUGUCUCCGAGACCUUGGAAUGUAGCGAAUUUUUACCGUAUUUCACUUCAGAUUUCCAGCAAGAGGACGAAUUUCUCAGCGCAGCUUUGGAGAUAAUCUUGGACUGCCGUCCAAGUCACAAGAAAGAGACGCAAAAAAUAAAUAUCUGUGAAUGCGGUAGCUUAUCGAGAGAAACUGGGAUUUUGAGUGAUCUCAAGAGGAUGGUCCAAAGCCACUAUUCAUCGAAGGUAUUUAAAUAAUUCCGUAUACCCUUAAUUAGUAUCUAUAAACUAUCCUAAAAACUUGGAGGAUAUGUUUUGAAAGUUAAAGAUUGGUAAAGACCUCGUUCCUUGGUGGGCCUCUGCAAAAGUAGUAAAUUCAUCGCAUCGCCACCCGCUUUCCUAGAAAAUUAAAAUCUCCUAUUGAAUUUGAAAAUUGGACACCUUUUUUGCUGUGCGAUUGUGGAAUUUCUUUCAUAUUGCGCGGAAAAUUUGAAAAACCCGUUUCUAUUUCUGCACAAAAAAUUUGAUCAAAUGACUUACUCUGUAAAGUUCUUGGUUUGAUCUGCUUUCAGUGAAUUUAUUUCAAACGUAAAAGUUCUACAAUCUUAGCAAAAUUCUGAUGCUAGUAAAUCUGUAUCGCAAAAUAUAGCUCCGUAAACAUUAUUUUCUUUUAUACCAAUUGAAAAGAUGAAUAAUCCUUCUUGGAAAAAGCUAAGAGCAUGAAUAUGAUUAUUCGAUGUGAAUCCCUCAACAAAAAGUAAGAUUGGUUAAAGGGCGGGCCCUGCCAAAAAGCCGAAAAUUUAGUAAAAACUGAUUUUGUGCCGCUAAAAUUUGACAGAUCAGUCUCU
rnacentral:lncRNA from 1 species